ACUGAUGAAAGGGGAGAACACUGAAAGGUUGGGCUGGAGUUCUGGGCAGCUUCUGCCUGUAGCUAGAAGGUCAGACCUGCCUCAUAGCUGUAGCAGGACUGAUGCAGGACUGAGGAACAGGGCGGAGAUGGGGUGGUGGAAGAGAUUGCAAACCCUUCGUCGCGGGAAUGGAAGACAGAUCCUCUCAGUGUUGCGAACUCCAUCUCCCAAGAUACUUUGGAAUAACACGUGACUUCGGACUUUGUGACAGCUUCCAUAGUGGACUCCAUUUCCCAGGAGACUCUGGGAGAUCACAUGUCUGGUAACGAUCGGCCACGAACCUUUCUCCAAUCACAAUCACCAGAUUAAUGACUCUCUACACCUGUGAUAGGUGAUCAUAUGAUAAGGUCAGUAUAGUUCUUAAGCCCGGGCUUUAGCUAGCGUUGUGAGGUAUUGUUUCAUUAAUGAACUUGCUGAGCGUUUUCUUUGAUUGCCUAUUCCUGUAUUCAUGUCUGACCCUUUGCCUGAUAUUCGCGACCUUGAUUUUUGCCUUGCCCUUUUGUAUUUGUCUACUUGAUCUUGGAUUACUGGUUUUGACCCUAUUGGAUUAUUUUAUUAUGGAGUAUUGGAUUACCCUCUCGUAUCUGUUUGCCUGGUGAAAUGAUCAUAGUUGUGAUCAUCUAUGCUGUUCUGGUUUUGACCCAUGCCUGCCUCUGGACUUCUCCACUGUCUCACGUAAAUAAAUCCAUUGUUUUCACUAAGA